ensembl:lncRNA
GGAGGACCCCAGAAACAAGGCCCAACCAGGUGGAUAUACCUGUUGAGGCCCUUGAGCUUGCUGCUUUUUUACUGUCUCCGAAGAUGGAUGCCUACCACAGCAUGGCUUGACAAGUGGUGCCAUGUCCGCACCUUGGAUCCGAACCUGUGAAUCCCAAGCUACCGAAGCAGAAUGUGCGCACUUAACCGCUGUGCCACCGGUCUGUCUCUUUGUUCAAAGUACAAAGUUCUCUUAGAUUAUUGGUCUGCUCUUAAUAAGAAAUUAUAAACAAAGGUUUCCCUUUAUCUUUUAAAUAUUCAGUGUGGACAGCAAAGAUUUUGUAUCUUACCAAAAUAAUUUACUGGGCUUCAUGUUGUCUUUAUCAGGUCUUUAAUUACUUAAGAAGACCCAGUCUUCUCAAUAUUAAAAGAGCUAAAUUUUGUUCACACCUAUGUAACUUUCUGUAUUUGCUUUGAAUAUCUUCUAUUGUCACUUACAGCAAAUAGAGAAUUAAGUAUUAUUUCAUAAUGAUCUGUGAUACGAAUUAGUCAAAUGUUUGAACCUUUUGACAACUUCCCCGAAUCAAAUUCUAAAUAGCGUCUUUUUGACCUCAGAGUAAUUUUGAGAUUUCCCAGAGGACCCCUGGAAAAUCUCAAAGGAUUUGUCUCUCCUCUUGUAACAGAGAGAUUUUAAACUAAUUAGGUUUAUUUGUACAUUAAAUUUCAUAGGAAGCAUUGUCAAAUAAGUGAUUAUAAGCCUUCUUAGGUUUUAUUUGUAUAGGUGCAUGUUAUUGAUGUACGCGUUUGAGAAAUUGCAUGAAAUUCCUAAAAAUCUGAUAUGUCCUGGUUUACAGUGUAUUCAGUAAUAAUUCCAGUUAUUAUCUUAAAAUGUUGUAUGUCAGAAAAAUAACCAAAUUUCCUUUUCAAUUCCAUUAUAAUGACCUCCCAUCAGAUCUUUAAGCAUGGGCAUUUUAAAAGUCUUUGUCAUUUACAGAUAGUUAUUGUUUUACUUUGAUGCUUUUGCAAAAGAGAGAUUCAUGGAAAGGACCCUACCAAGUAUCCUUGACCCCAGACUCUGUGGCCAAAUUACAAAAUAUUGAAACUUGGGUGCAUAUUUCACAAGUUAAGAGGGCUCCACCUGGUAUCUGGUCCUGUGCAAAUGCUAGAGACCUCAAAGUCAAAUUGACUAAGAAGAGACGUAGCUGACAUGAAGGUAGACUGGUUCCUCCCAAGACAUUGGAUCAAGGGCAUUUCUUUCCAUUCCUCCUUCUCUCUCUGACCAUUCAUUUCCAAAUUCUUACACCAAGAAUGUCUGUAUGAUUCUUUUGUCCACUUUUUGCCUUGCUCUGUUCUGGAAAGAUAAUGCCAUGAUUCACACAUCUCAGGCCAUUGCAAAGAGAGUAACCCAACUUCUAUAUGACUGUUGACUUCGCCAUGAUGCUGGUGAUCCUGUAGUGCUGCUUGUCACAAACUUUUCCUUGAUUUCCAAUGCCUCAGUUUCUCUGGAACAAACUCAGCACUCUCUCUACUGCAUUAGACUCCCUAACCCUGGGGGUCCAUUUCCCCGUCUCUGAUUAACAAUCCCCAACCCAGGGAACGUGGCAUCCAGGCUCUGCACAAAGAAAGGGACACAAGGCAAAUAAGAUCGGAAUAAAAUUGCCUGUACAGUCUCCAAAAGACUCCUAAAUGUUUUGGCCUCGUGGCUGUCACUUUUCCAUUCCUGAGUAACAGACUCAAAUAGGAAUUACCAGGAGG